rnacentral:rRNA from 1 species
GAUAGGGGACUCGAGUGUGUGGGCAUAGAGCCCACACUUUUUGUAUACCGUAAGAAGGUACACGAAUAAGAGCUGGGCAAGACCGGUGCCAGCCGCCGCGGUAAUACCGGCAGCUCGAGUGAUGGCCGAUUUUAUUGGGCCUAAAGCGUCCGUAGCCGGCCGGGCAAGUCCGUUGGGAAAUCUGUUCGCUUAACGAACAGGCGUCCAGCGGAAACUGCUCGGCUUGGGACCGAAAGACCUGAGGGGUACGUCCGGGGUAGGAGUGAAAUCCUGUAAUCCUGGACGGACCACCGAUGGGGAAACCACCUCAGGAGGACGGAUCCGACGGUGAGGGACGAAAGCUAGGGUCUCGAACCGGAUUAGAUACCCGGGUAGUCCUAGCUGUAAACGAUGUCUGCUAGGUGUGGCACAGGCUACGAGCCUGUGCUGUGCCGUAGGGAAGCCGAGAAGCAGACCGCCUGGGAAGUACGUCCGCAAGGAUGAAACUUAAAGGAAUUGG